AUGGAGGAUGCGAGGGGGUACCGGGGGAUACCGGCGUUUGGGGAAUGGAACUACGGCGGCGGCGACGACUGGUCCGUGCUGACCCAGCGCUUCGAGUCGGCGAUGCACACCCCGUUCCCCGUUCACAAACCCUGCAAGAGAGCGAGGGCGUGUCGCAGGAGGCGCUUCCCAGCGUUCGGAGAGUGGAACAACCUCGGUGAUGGUGACGCCGGUGGCUGGACGGCGGCCGUCGUCAACCAGUACUUCGAGCCUGUCACGGCACACAAAUCACUCAACGAGGAAUUCAAUGGUUACGACAGUGGCGUCGUCGCCAUGGGGAAGCAGCAGCACAAGGUGGCGAGGCAAACCUGGGUGGAUGACUCAGGGACCCACGACGCAAUGGAACUCUUCUCCUUUGCGGGGGUCAAGGCUGUUGACGACGGCCUGUAUGAGGUCCCAUCGGACAUGCCCUGUGCCAAGCCAAUUCCAGUAUGUAAUUAA
rnacentral:rRNA from 1 species